GACGAACGCUGGCGGCGUGCCUAACACAUGCAAGUCGAGCGAAUGAAGUUCCUUCGGGACUGGAUUUAGCGGCGGACGGGUGAGUAACACGUGGGCAACCUGCCUCAUAGAGGGGAAUAGCCUCCCGAAAGGGAGAUUAAUACCGCAUAAGAUUGUAGUACCGCAUGAUACAGCAAUUAAAGGAGCAAUCCGCUAUGAGAUGGGCCCGCGGCGCAUUAGCUAGUUGGUGAGGUAAUGGCCCACCAAGGCGACGAUGCGUAGCCGACCUGAGAGGGUGAUCGGCCACAUUGGGACUGAGACACGGCCCAGACUCCUACGGGAGGCAGCAGUGGGGAAUAUUGCACAAUGGGGGAAACCCUGAUGCAGCAACGCCGCGUGAGUGAUGACGGCCUUCGGGUUGUAAAGCUCUGUCUUCAGGGACGAUAAUGACGGUACCUGAGGAGGAAGCCACGGCUAACUACGUG
rnacentral:rRNA from 1 species